ACAACGAUGUCGCUGUUAGGAAAAAGCACUAUUCUCUCAUUUUGCCUUUGGGCCCAAGAAAGGAGCGUCCCCAAGUCCUGACGGCUGACGCCAUCGACGCGGCGACGCCCUCCAACAAAACCGAAGAGGCGAGGAAGGAACACAUGCUCUCUCCGCUGUUCUUGCUGAGUUGUUGUGGACAAAAAGAGCACGAAAGUGGGUAGAGAAAACGGGGGGCAAGCCAACCACACUCGCAGCCAGCCUGCCCGCUCGCCCGCCCGCCAUUCUUGCCGAUUCGAGUCGACGUCACGCCUCCGGCGCCCCCUUCGGUUGUCACCUCGGGGGUCGCGGAUUGGUGGAGGGGAGGAUUUGAGCGGCGCGGCCAUGGAUACAACAUCUAGGGCCGCCAAGAUCCCGUCGCUCCACCAGACGGAGAUCAACUGGGAUAACCUCGACAAGACCAAGCUCUACGUGGUGGGCGCAGGCAUGUUCAGCGGGGUCACCGUGGCGCUGUACCCUGUCUCGGUGGUCAAGACCCGGAUGCAGGUUGCCUCUGGGGACGCCAUGGGGAGGAACGCACUGGCUACCUUCAAGAACAUCCUUAAGGUGGACGGCGUGCCAGGGCUGUACCGGGGGUUUCCUACUGUUAUCAUUGGGGCUGUACCAACUAGGAUCAUCUUCCUCACGGCGCUUGAGACAACCAAAGCAGCCUCUCUCAAGCUUGUUGAGCCCUUCAAGCUGUCAGAGCCGGUGCAGGCUGCCUUUGCCAAUGGCCUUGCCGGUCUGUCGGCAUCUACAUGUUCGCAGGCUAUUUUUGUCCCAAUUGAUGUGAUCAGCCAGAAAUUGAUGGUUCAAGGGUAUUCUGGUAAUGUCAGAUACAAAGGUGGAAUAGAUGUUGCUCGCAAGGUCAUAAAGGCUGAUGGCAUUAGGGGGCUCUACAGAGGAUUUGGACUCUCUGUUAUGACCUAUGCACCAUCGAGUGCUGUGUGGUGGGCGAGUUAUGGUUCUAGCCAGCGCAUAAUUUGGAGUGCCCUUGGCCAUUUGCAUAACAAAGAAGAGGCUCCUAGCCAAUUGAAAAUAGUUGGUGUUCAAGCAUCAGGGGGGAUUUUUGCUGGUGCUGUGACCUCUUUUGUUACGACUCCCAUAGAUACAAUCAAGACCAGGCUGCAGCUGUUCCUUCUGCUGACAAACCAGGACCAGUUUGUCAUGGUUUCUGUUAUAAGGUUAUGGAUAAUGAAAAUAAGCCAAAAGCUGGGGAAGUUGUUAAAAGAUUGAUUGCUGAAGAUGGAUGGAAAGGUUUGUACAGAGGGUUGGGUCCAAGAUUUUUCAGCUCAUCAGCUUGGGGUACCUCAAUGAUAGUAUGCUACGAGUACCUGAAGCGCUUGUGUGCUAAAGUUGAAGAGGUCUGACUUCUGUUCUUACUAUCCUGGAAGUUUUGUAUUAGCAGAAGUGAAAUAAUGCUGUAUGUCGACAACAUUGACACCACCGGAAGCUUCAGUUCUUGCUGACGUAGGUGAAAGCAUUCAACAUGGAUGUUUGAUGGUGUACUUCAUUUGAUGCUAGACAAUAGUCUUUACAAACUUUGCUUCUCUGGGCUAUAUUCUCAAAAAAAUGGAGGGGCCUAUAUUUUUUUGCUCAUAUGAUGAAUAUGGGUUAGGCGGAUUAUUUUAGGUGAGUAUAAACGAUAUCAGAUGUACACACUUCUCAUUCUUUUAUACAUGAAGGCUGUUUUAGCGAGGCUGUAUGAUUAUGACCAGUCUGGAUGAUUGAGACCAGUUGUAAUGACACGGAACGAUGUUUCCGGGAGAUGCUGUUUUGACCUUUUUUUUUUCCUCAUGCGGUUUCAGUUA